rnacentral:rRNA from 1 species
UGGGGAAUUUUGGACAAUGGGCGAAAGCCUGAUCCAGCCAUACCGCGUGAGUGAAGAAGGCCUUCGGGUUGUAAAGCUCUUUCAGCCGGAAAGAAAUCGCAUCUCCUAAUACGAGGUGCGUAUGACGGUACCGGAAGAAGAAGCACCGGCUAACUACGUGCCAGCAGCCGCGGUAAUACGUAGGGUGCGAGCGUUAAUCGGAAUUACUGGGCGUAAAGCGUGCGCAGGCGGUUUUUUAAGCCAGAUGUGAAAUCCCCGGGCUUAACCUGGGAACUGCAUUUGGAACUGGAAGACUAGAGUGUAGCAGAGGGGGGUAGAAUUCCACGUGUAGCAGUGAAAUGCGUAGAUAUGUGGAGGAAUACCGAUGGCGAAGGCAGCCCCCUGGGUUAACACUGACGCU